GUAGUGUUAACUCUGUAGCGUCCCCAGAAUCCGCCUAGGAUCCGGUUCGCUAAUUCUAUAACUGUUUGCGGAAGAUAUAAACAUAAAUUGUUUAUACAUUAAACUUUACACACUAUUUCCCCAAAAUCGAGUAACCUUAACUAAUACACAAUCAUAAACUAUCUAACACAUGACAAUACUAUUCUUCAACCAUACUUUUACAAAUUAGCUGCACAUUCUAUCCCAAGCUGAACUUGGCAUUUUCCUUUUCCUGUAACUGGCCGUAUUCGCCUUAUCUGCAAUGUUUUAUCAUGAUAUAGCAAGGGUGAGCAUGAAAGUUGCCCAGCAAGUUUAAAAAAAAAAAGGUAAAGAUAUAUCAUGAUUGAAAGAGUUUGAAUAAUAAGCUGGCUAUCCUUCACAAUGUAGUUGUGAAUUAGCAUGAACAAAAUUUCAAAGCUGAAUGAACAUUGAAAAUGAACAUAACAAUUAUAUCUGAACUGACUGGUAAUGAAGGUGAUCAGCCUUUCAUACCUGAUGAAUACAUGCAAUAUGUACAGAGUACAAUUCAUAAGCAU
rnacentral:lncRNA from 1 species